CUACGGAGGACGCGAGCGUUAUCCGGAUUCAUUGGGUUUAAAGGGUGCGCAGGCGGCCGUGCAAGUCAGCGGUGAAAGCCCGGGGCUCAACCCCGGAAGUGCCGUUGAUACUGCAUGGCUGGAAUGCGGUCGAGGCGGGCGGAACGGGGCGUGUAGCGGGGAAAUGCGUAGAUAUGCCACAGAACGCCGAUAGCGGAGGCAGCGCGCCAGGCCUGCAUUGACGCUCGGGCACGAAAGCGUGGGGAUCGAACAGGAUUAGAUACCCUGGUAGUCCACGCCGUAAACGAUGGGCGCUCGUCGUCGGCGGCAGACAGUCGGCGGCCAAGCGAAAGCGAUAAGCGCCCCACCUGGGGAGUACGGUCGCAAGGCUGAAACUCAAAUGAAUUGACGGGG
rnacentral:rRNA from 1 species